rnacentral:rRNA from 1 species
UACGUAGGGCGCAAGCGUUAUCCGGAAUUAUUGGGCGUAAAGAGCUCGUAGGCGGUCUGUCGCGUCGGCUGUGAAAACUCGGGGCUCAACUCCGAGCUUGCAGUCGAUACGGGCAGGCUAGAGUUCGGCAGGGGGAGACUGGAAUUCCUGGUGUAGCGGUGAAAUGCGCAGAUAUCAGGAGGAACACCGGUGGCGAAGGCGGGUCUCUGGGCCGAUACUGACGCUGAGGAGCGAAAGCGUGGGGAGCGAACAGG